rfam:Calocera cornea HHB12733 unplaced genomic scaffold CALCOscaffold_30, whole genome shotgun sequence.
GGAUGCUUAGCGGAGUGGUUACCGCGUUGGUCUUCGAUUCGGCGAAAGCUCGGGGCAACCAAAGGUCGUCGGUUCAAGUCCGGCAGCAUUCA